AUGGAUGAUGGAACUGGUGGUGUUCAAGAAUCAAGUGACAUGUCGAUUUCAAGCGAUGAUGACACCAAUAAGCAACGGAAUGAAAGCAAUGUGGAACUUGAACAUGACCUUGGUGAAGCUCAACCAGAUGCCUUACUUGGAGACCCUAAAUUGGGGAUGACCUUUGAUACUGAGAAUGAGGUGCGAGAGUACUACAACAACUAUGCUAAAGCAAAGGGCUUUGGUGUGACAAGAAGAAGCUCAAACAAUGAUGAUAAUGGACAGCUGAAGUAUCUUACACUUUCGUGCUCUCGGUAUGGUAAGACUCAGUCCAGAUCAAGAAAUAUGUUGAAACCAAAUCCAACAACCGGGUUAGGAUGUAAAGCUAAAAUCAAUAUUACCCGUGGUCCUGAUGGGAAGUUUCAUCUUUCAACUGUCAUUUUAGAUCAUAAUCAUACAUUAAGUCCACACAAGUCUCGGUUAUUCAGAUGCAACCAAAAGUUAGACGUCCAUGUGAAGCGAAGGCUUGAGCUGAAUGACCGGGCUGGAAUUCGAGUAAACAAGAAUUUCAAUUCUUUUGUUGUGGAAGCAAAUGGUCAUGAGAACCUAACUUUUGGUGAGAAGAAUGCUCGCAAUUUUCUAGAGAAAACAAGAAGGUUGAAACUUGGCAGAGGUGAUGCUGAAGCGGUUCGUGAUUUUUUUGUCAAGAUGCAAUCUGACAACCCAAAUUUUGUCAGUGUCAUGGACCUUGAUGAUGAAUCUCGACUAAGGAAUGUCUUUUGGGCUGAUGCAAGAAGUAGAGCAGUGUAUGACUCUUUUCAUGAUGUCGUUAGUUUUGACACAACAUAUUUGACGAACAAAUAUGAUAUGCCUUUUGCUUGUUUUGUUGGAGUGAAUCAUCAUGGACAAUCAAUUUUGCUUGGAUGUGCUCUAUUAUCAAAUGAAGAUACCGAAACAUUUGUUUGGUUAUUUCAAGCAUGGCUCACAUGUAUGUCAAAUCUCCAUCCAAAAGCUAUUGUAACCGAUCAAGCAAAAGCAAUUCAGAAUGGUGUGGAAAGAGUUUUUCCAGAAUCUCGAUAUAGAUGGUGUUUGUGGCAUAUAAUGAAGAAGAUACCCGAGAAGUUUGGUGGAUAUGAUGAGUAUGAUCACAUUAAGGCUGCUAUUGGCAAGGCAGUUUAUGAUUCAUUAACAAUUACAGAGUUUGAAGUUGCUUGGAUGCAUAUGCUUGAGAAGUAUGAUCUUGGUGAUAACGAAUGGCUUAAAGGGCUUUACCGCCAUAGGCACCGAUGGGUUCCAGCAUUUGUGAAAGAUGCCUUUUGGGCAGGUAUGUCUACUACACAACGCAGUGAGAGUAUGAAUGCCUUCUUCGAUGGGUAUGUUAAUGCAAAAACUACAUUGAAGCAUUUUGUUAGCCAAUAUGAGAAUGCUCUUCGUGAUAAAGUUGAGAAGGAGAAUAUUGCUGAUUUCAACUCUUUCAAUUCAACCAUACCUUGCAUCACACACUUUGAUAUCGAGAUGCAAUUUCAAUCAAUCUAUACAAAUUCGAAGUUCAAAGAAUUUCAAGAAGAGCUAACAUACAAGAUGUAUUGUGAUCGGAAAAAAGAUAUUGUGUACCAUGUACAAUUCAGUGAGGAAGAGUUUGAAGUUAAGUGUUCAUGUCGCCACUUUGAGUUCAGGGGGAUUCUCUGUAGGCAUGUGUUAUGUGUGCUCACUCACAAGAAAAUCAAGGAGGUUCCUCUACAAUACAUUCUUGAUCGGUGGAGAAAAAAUGUGAAAAGAAAACAUAACUUCAUCAGAUGCACAUAUGGCGGCAUGGAAAAUACUCCUGUUGCAAAUCCUUUUGAUAGAUUGUGCAACAGUUUCUACCCAGUUGCAGAGAUAGGCGCCAUGUCAGAUGAUUCAUGCAAUUCAUUGAUUGAAGAUCUUUGCACCUUGAAAAUUAAGUACUCUAGCAACUCAAGUUCUGAAAAUAAUAAGGAUCAGGUUAGUGCACCAAAAGAUCAAUUGCAGGAAGAGGCGCCUUCUGAUGGGAAGACAACAAGUAAAACUAUACUAAGUCCAAUAGCUGCUGCACAAAAGGAAGCUGAACAAAAGGUAUUCUCCCUAUAUUAUCAGAAAUCAUUUGACUUGGGCAUUAUCAAUGGCGACAUAAAUCCACCCCAAGGAUCAACUACAGUAUCACUUGGAGGCAAGAAUAUGAUGAAACCCACUUUUGGAGAUAUGUUUACAAUGUACAACAUCACGGAACAACAACAAUAUAUAGGGAUCUCGCGAGCGCCGCCCGCGUACGACUUAGCGCUGGAAGAGGGAGCUACGCCGGCCAGCCAGGAAGGGGAUGCGUCCCAGCGUUGA
rnacentral:rRNA from 1 species